rnacentral:rRNA from 1 species
UACGGAGGGGGCUAGCGUUGUUCGGAAUUACUGGGCGUAAAGCGUGCGCAGGCGGUGAUGUAAGACAGUUGUGAAAUCCCCGGGCUUAACCUGGGAACUGCAUCUGUGACUGCAUUGCUGGAGUGCGGCAGAGGGGGAUGGAAUUCCGCGUGUAGCAGUGAAAUGCGUAGAUAUGCGGAGGAACACCGAUGGCGAAGGCAAUCCCCUGGGCCUGCACUGACGCUCAUGCACGAAAGCGUGGGGAGCAAACAGG